CCCAGUAAACGGCGGCCGUAACUAUAACGGUCCUAAGGUAGCGAAAUUCCUUGUCAGGUAAGUUCUGACCCGCACGAAAGGCGUAACGAUUUGGGCGCUGUCUCAGCUGUAGACUCGGUGAAGUCUUAGUACCUGUGAAGAUGCAGGUUACCCGCGACUAGACGGAAAGACCCCAUGGAGCUUCACUGCAGGUUGAUAUUGGGAUUUGAUGCAGCAUGUACAGGAUAGGUAGGAGGCAAAGAGAUGGAUACGCCAGUAUUCAAGGAGCCGCUGUUGGGAUACUACCCCUGUUGUAUUGGAUUUCUAACCGGACGACGUAGAGCCGUUGACGGGACAGUGUCAGUCGGGCAGUUUGACUGGGGCGGUCGCCUCCCAAAGAGUAACGGAGGCGCCCAAAGAUACCCUCAGCUUGGAUGGAAACCAAGCGCAGAGUGCAAAGGCAAAAGGGUGUUUGACUGCGAGACCCACAAGUCGAGCAGGGACGAAAGUCGGGCUUAGUGAUCCGGCGGUGCUGAAUGGAAAGGCCGUCGCUCAACGGAUAAAAGCUACCCUGGGGAUAACAGGCUGAUCUCCCCCAAGAGUUCACAUCGACGGGGAGGUUUGGCACCUCGAUGUCGGCUCAUCGCAUCCUGGAGCUGAAGUCGGUUCCAAGGGUUGGGCUGUUCGCCCAUUAAAGCGGUACGCGAGCUGGGUUCAGAACGUCGUGAGACAGUUCGGUCCCUAUCUGUCGUGGGCGCAGGAAAUUUGAGAAGAGCUGUCCUCAGUACGAGAGGACCGGGAUGGACGCAUCAAUGGUGGACCAGUUGUCACGCCAGUGGCAUAGCUGGGUAGCUAAAUGCGGAAGGGAUAAACGCUGAAGGCAUCUAAGUGUGAAACCCACUUCAAGAUGAGAUUUCCCAUUGCGCAAGCAAGUAAGACCCCUUAAAGACGAUAAGGUAGAUAGGUCAGGAGUGUAAGCAUGGUGACAUGUUAAGCGGACUGAUACUAAUAGGUCGAGGGCUUGACCGA
rnacentral:rRNA from 1 species